ACAUGCAGUAUUUCAAGGAGUUUUGCUGUAAAGGAAAACAGAGAAAUAAGACAAUAGUUGAAGGGGAAUUGUAGGAUCCACAAUUAUUUUUUUUAACAGAUCUUUAUUGGAGUAUAAUAGCUUCACAAUACUGUGUUAGUUUCUGUUGCACAGCAGAGCGAAUCAGCCACAUACAUACACAUGUCCCCAUAUCCCCUCCCUCUUGAGCCUCCCUCCCAACCUCCCUAUCCCACCCCUCUAGGUGGGCACAAAGCACCGAGCUGAUCUCCCUGUGCUAUGCGGCUGCUGCUUCCCACCAGCCAACUAUUUUACAUUCCGUAGUGUAUAUACAUCGAUGCUACUCUCACUUCGCCCUAGCUUCUCCCUCCCAUCCCAUGUCCUCAAGUCCAUUCUCUACGUCUACCUCUUUAUUCCUGCUCUGCAACUACGUUCAUCAGUACCAUUUUUUUUUUAGAUUCCAUAUAGAAUGGCCAUUAUCAAAAAAUCUAUAAACAAUAAAUACUGGAGAGGGUGUGGAGAUAAGGGAACCCUCUUGCACUGUUGGUGGGAAUGUAAAUUGGUACAGCCACUAUGGAGAACAGUAUGGAGGUUCCUUAAAAAACUAAAAAUAGAACUACCAUACGACCCAGCAAUCCCACUACUGGGCAUAUACCCUGAGAAAACCAUAAUUCAAAAAGAGUCAUGUACCAAAAUGUUCACUGCAGCUCUAUUUACAAUAGCCAGGACAUGGAAGCAACCUAAGUGUCCAUCAUUGGAUGAAUGGAUAAAGAAGAUGUGGCACAUGUAUACAAUGAAAUAUUACUCAGCCAUAAAAAGAAACGAAAUUGAGUUAUUUGUAUUGAGGUGGAUGGACCUAGAGUCUGUCAUACAGAGUGAAGUAAGUCAGAAAGAGAAAAACAAAUACCGUAUGCUAACGCAAUUAUUUUUAAGGUAGGGGAAAUAAUUGCAUGUUUCUUUUCUGAUCGGAAUUAUCUAGUAGAGAAGGAGGCUGGGCCAUGUCUUGAGAAGGUGAGAGGGGACGGAGGGGGGUGGUCUAAGGUAGGAACAGGACGGUUUUUGAAGUAUCACGAGGCAAAGCCAAACGAGCACAGGGGCCCUGAUGCUGGUGGGGCAGGUGCGGUGGUAGGAGCUCACGGCAGCUCUUUCCACCUGCUUCCAUGUUCCUCCCGAAAUAGGAAGCAAGGCCGGGAGAAGAGAGGGAGAGCAGGGGGAGGAGGUGCUGGGAGUUUAAAGAGAGAGAGAGAUGUGAACGAGUCAUCCGGGAGAGUCAAGAGUGGGGGACAGGAGAAAUGGGCGCUGAUGUCCUGGCAGUGACGGAAGCCCAUGCAUCACUGGCGGUCACGGGCUUCCUGAUAUGCACGAAGGCUUGGGAACCACUGCCCUAGAGUAGAAUGGCUGAAGGAGGAAGACAAGCAUCUACAGGACCAGAAGAAUUUAAGAAAUUGAGAGGUCGGGAAAGGAAAAGGAUUCUUUAAGGAGCAUGAAAUUGCUGAAAAUUAAGACAGGGGUACAGAGACUUCCCCGGUGGUCCAGUGGUUAAGAUUCUGCCUUCCAAUGCAAGGGGUGUGGGUUGGAUCCCUGGUCGGGGAGCUAAGAGCCCACAUGCUGUGGGGUACGGCCAAAAUUUUUUUAAAAAAAGGGGGUACACCUGAAGAAAGUGCCCGGACCCAGGAGCUAAAAUCACCAAGAAAUGAGGACAAUGGCCAGGUGGAGAAUAGUCUAGAAGUGGCAGAAAACAGUAAGGAGGACACCUAUCCCAGAGCCCAGUGAUAUAAGGGCUGUGGGAGAUAGCAGCCCCUCUGCGGGGCAUAGCGGGCAGGACAACGGCCCCCCAAAGAUGUCCACUCAUCCCUGGCACUUGUGCGUAUGUUACCUUACACGGCAGCGGGGACUUGGCAGGUGUGAUUACUAAUCUCAAGAUGGAACGAGUAGCCCGGAUUAUCCAGGUGGGCCCAAUGUAAUCACAAGCGUCCCUAUAAGAGGAGGCCGGAGAGUCAGGCGGAGGAGUACGCGGCACGAGGGGGCAGCGGUCGGGGUGAUGCGGUUGCUGGCUUGGAAGAUGGAGGGAGGCCCACCGGCCAGGAAGCGGAUUCUCCCCUCGAGCCUCCGGAAGGGACACGGCCCUGCGGACACCUUGAGUUUAGCCCAGUGAGACCAUUUUGGAUUUCUGACCUCCAAAACCGUAAGAGAGACACCGUGAUGAAAACACAGAUGUUGAACAUGGCUACAGCCUCAGCGUGAUUUCUAAGCCUGACACCUAAGGCUGAAACCAGAAAGAAAGAAAGAAAAGACAGAUGCAUAGUGAGCCGUCAUUGCGAUGCUGCAGAGGACUCGGGCUGUGGCCUAUGAUGCAGCAAACCCACUUUCACCAACAGACAGACAAUCCGAGAGCCAAGGCCCAGCGGGACAGCAGGAGGCGCGUAAGCCAGCAAUACCGAUGCUGGAUGGUUCCUGGCAAGCGCUCACCACGUGCUACCUGAUUCCAAUCAUUGUGCAGAGAAUUAAAUAACAGCAGCGGCAUCUAAACAGCUGAGGCACAGAAAGUUCUUCAGUUGCAGGCCUAGACUCCUACAUGUUGGGCUCCAAUAGGGCUGGUUUGAUUGGGACUGGAUGGCGUUCGUCACGGGCUGCUGCCGCCCAGGACAAAAUAACCACCUCCUCAGUAGUGGCUCUGAACACAGUCUGGACCAUGCAUUUCAGGCCAUCUCUUGAAGCAAAAAGGCCCACUGGCAAAGCCAGGUGCCCGUGGCCCGAAGGCAGCUCCCUCAUCACACUUGCCUGUCUCUACUCCACACUGGCUGGUUCUAAACCCAAGAGCAGAGGCUUGUCUGACCACUCCCUCAGGGCCUUAAAAAAAAAAGCCUCUAUCCUGACAGUGGCCAAAUAAUUAAUGUUUUCAGCCUGGACCUCACCCCUGAACUUCAGACUUAGAUAUCGAACUACCGGCCGGGCAUCUCACACUUAACACGGUCCAAACCCAUCUCCUGAUGGCCACAAUCAUCGCCGCCCUGCUCCACUCGUCCCAUCAUAGGAAACAGACACUCCCCAUUUCCGGUGGUUCAGGUCAAUCUUGGUCACAGCCCACAUCCCCUCCAUAUGCAAAUGCUUCUGGAUUUACCCUCAAAAUAACAUCCAGAAACUAAGAGCCUCUGUCACCUCACUGCACUGGAAAAAACAGUUCCAAGGUGCUAAAAUAGUCAAGAUGUUUGCACUGUAUCCCUCUGUACGCAUGCAGGUAGCACUUGGGGGGGACCAGGUGCCAUGGACGUGUCCAAGGUCACACCCUUGGAACGGCACCUUUGAAUCGAGGCCGAACCCCAGGCACCCGGCUUUUAAUAGUAGGGGCCGUUCCCUGGGAAGCCCACGCCUGCUCCCUUGUCAAGAGUUCAGAGAAUUUAUAAAGCCUCAAACUGAUAGGUUUGUCUGCAGACUUCUGAGGUGCAGUUUCCUGUUUAGUCAUGAAGCACACACUUUAAUCGUCUAUUUCCUGGUGGGAGGCAGGUACCAGGAGCCCAAGGAAGGGCCUGUUUUAAAUUCAACUAAGACCUUUACCCCACCCCGAGCCGCCCUGCUCUGUAGGGUGCUGUUCACGUGCCCUAUUUAAUCCUCACAGCCAUCUCUGGGGGUUGGGGCUACGAUGCCCAUUUCUCAGGUCAAGUUACUGAGGCAGAGAAAGAUGGAGUGAUCCUUCCAGGAACGGCCCCAGCUCGGUGGGUGCUAGUCCCAGGUCAGGGCUUCCACAUGUGUAAGGUCAUCAAGCUCCCCUGGGGGCUGAGUUAAGAUGCAGUUUUGCCUCAGAAGGGCUCGACACAAAAGCGCUGUCAAUACACCCGUGUAAGUCUCACGACCUCUCUCUGAGCCUCAGUUUUCCCACAAAACGGAUCAGAAUACCUCCUGGAGAGACUGCUGUCAGGAUUGAAGGAGAUGAUGUAGCUGGCUUAUUCAUAGACAGAUGUUUACUUACUCUGCAAUACGGACCCAUAGAGAAGAUGGAAGAAUGAGAGAGAAGAUGUGGAAGGAGACAGACCAGUCCAAUCCAAUCCUCUUCCACUAACCAAGAAUACAAUGCUAUUUCCCUACAUGUUUAAAGAAGUCGUCUGUUCCGUUGAUCAGCUGUUAGUAACAUGGAGGUAGACAUCGAGGGAGAAGGCAGCAUCUCGACUUAGGAUAUGUUACCUAGGUGACACCUAGAAACACGCCCAAAGACAGGGAGAGAGGCCUCUGGUCCCAGAAUCACUGCCCCAUUGUUGUGGUCUUUUAUGAGACUACCACUGAAGACCUAUAUAGUGAUGGUACAUUUUUACAGUCCUCGCAUAAAUCAGUGAAUUGUCCUGCUAGUCUCAUGGGUUAGGUGAUGAUUUAGGAUAUGGAUUGGAAAUGGUUCACUGAUUAAUCAACACAAAUAAUUAACACGAAAGUGCAAGGUGUCAACAGAUAAAAUACGAAAAUACUCAAUUUGUCACCCUGACAAAUUCUACAACUAGCUUCCACCCUCCUGAGAGCACAGGCACGUCUCUAAAUGGAUGGCAUCAGAGGAGAAAACCUGUGUGCAUCUGCAUCGCAGGGGUUAGACUGCUCUAGGGUACGUUCAGUUUAAUGGUUCUUUAAUGAAAACACCAGGGUCCCUCCCAACCUGUGUAGAACGCGCUACCAUCUUCUCCAUCCUCCGCUUUUUCCAUGAUUACGCGUCAACUUACAAGCUAGGGAGAAACAACUCAGACAUUCUCUAAGCUAAGCUGCCCUGCGAGGGAGGACGAGACAACUGUAUGAACUCAGACCUGAGUUGAGCUGAGCUGCUCUGCCCGGUCCUUUUCUCCGAUUCAGCAGAAUUUCUUCCGACUACAUGCAGCCAAGAGGCACCUCUCCUAUCAAGCAACCACAUGGCUUCUAAGGCAGCAACCACAGACAGGAAAGCAUUCUAAACAAACCACGGCUUGCCCCCUGGUCCUCCUGAAGCUUCCUCACAGCCUCGGCCCCAAAGCUCUGCUGAGAGGCGGCAGCCACAAAGCAAGCACUGCAACAUGGGCUGCUGCCUUUCAGAACUAAAACAGAAGCAAAAAGAAAGGCACUUGUUACUACGGCCAGUUGAGAUUCGGGAAAGAAACAGUGACCCAAACCCACAGUUCAGCUCAGCCUGCAACCACAAAUGAGAUGAGAAAAUAAAUACCUAAUUGUUUGGGAAGCCAUCUUUCUCUUUGGAGGUUGGCGGAAUUAACCAGACAUUUUUGUGAAGACAUUUGCGUUUCCUUAGCCUUGCGUAUGCGGCAGAGAGAACUGAAGGCGGGUCAGACACGCCAGGUGGGUUAAGGGGGGGAGCGUGGAGCAGGAGGAAACAUCUCCAUCCUGAGCUACCUUCCUCAUGUCACAGAAUCUCACAGAAGUUCCCCGAGGCCUUUGAGAAGAGGUCCAAAAUCCCAGGCCUGCCUCAAGUGAACUUUCCUUCGAAAACCAGCACAGCCCCUGCUGCUUGCAACAGAUUCGUGGGAUAUUUAUGGAAUCUUCUAGCCUAGUCUGCACCUUAUCCUUCCAUAAAUUCACCUUCCAGAUCAUUCUAUGUCCUCCCAUGUGUCACGACCAGCUCACAGCACGGCACCACCACCCCCCUCCCCACAAUCAAGAAGGGUACCCGUACAUACAUCCACAUGUUUCCAAAGCCCGACAUAAGCCCACGUGCCGUAAGGAGGCAGCCUGACCCACUUCACGCUGCCAUCAGUCUUAUGCAUUUUGUCCUGUCUCCCUCUCAACUCCCUCAGCCCAGUCUGGUGUGAGAACUGACUGACCUGCAGACUGUCCCCACGUGCACUCGGCAAGCCCUAACUACAGGACCCACCUGAUAGCCCACCCGCACCAGCCUGCAGAGGGAGACAGAGGACGAUGGUGCAGGGCCAAGUGCCUGAGUGACAGUGAGAUAAACCUGGGACCCCUGGGCUCCCCAGCCCACCCCCUUCCAGGCCCAAGAAGUCACUAGCUGCCUGGAAAGAAAUUCCACCAGGUCCAAGCCAGGACCAGACCCAGUCCGAAAUUUCUCUAAGUGAGAUUCACAGGUCCAGGCCUGGCACAGAUGGCCAAUUCAAAGGCUGCCUGGAGUGACCAGCAAGGACUAUGUGUGUGUGUGUGACAUUACACCAGGUGUCCCUAAGAUACCUUAACUCUCCCAGGACAUGCAGACAGAACCCUAACUCCUGACACACUCCCCUCGAUCAAACCUUCACCUGUACAGUCCUUGCUGUGGACUGAACUGUGUCCCGCAAAUUGCCAUGUUGAAGCCCUAACCCCCAGUGUGAUGGUAUUUGGAGGUGGGCCUUUGGGAGGUGAUUUGGGUUAGAUGAGACCACGAGGAUGGGGCCCUCAGGAUGGGAUCAGUGCCCUGUAAGAAGAAAGACCAGAGAGCUUGUUUGCUCACUCACUGGGCCCAGCGAGAAGGCAUGCAGGCUCACCAGCACCCGAUCAUAUGGGCACCCUGAUUUCAGGCUUCUGGCCUCCAGAACUAUGAGAGGAUAACUUCUGCUGUUUAAGCCACCCAGUCAGUGGAAUUCUGUUAUGGCGGCCUGAGCGAAGACAGUCCUGUAAGCGCUGCUCUACCCAAGACCGUUCCUCUCUAAUAUCUCAAGGCGUGCUCACGGGGCAGGCAUCUGCUGGCGAAGCAGCUGAGGUUCAGUGAUUUGCCCAAGGCCACACUCCAAGGCAGGGUUUGAACAAGGAGCAGGAGCUGCUGUGGCCCCAGUGUCCUCCACACCCCUAAACACACACACCUUCGUGCCAUGUGGCUCUGUGCCGGCAAAGCCCCCCUUGCAUCCAAAUCCCACUUCUCUGCCGCCAUCCAGCCUCAACUGCUGCCCGGGAUCCUCUGGCCAACAGCCCCUUCUCCCUUCCCUGCCCUCCACUGACCUCACGGAUUCAGCCUUUCUGUGUCUGGUAAGGUGGUACGUGUCUGAGGGUGGUGGCCACAGAUGGCCCAGUGCAGGGGCUGAGCACAGCGGUGAGGGGCUCACACCAAGGCAGAGCCACAGGGAAACACACAGGUGGGAGCCAGACUGCUGGGGUCCAUGUCCAGCCUGCCAUGCCCUGCCAUGGAUUUGAGGCAAGCCCUGACCCCCUCUGAACCUGCCGUGCCAAAAACGGGCAAUGACGGUUCUUAACAACUUCAGAGGGAAUCCAUUGAGUAGACACAUUACAGGUGCUGUAAACAGCGUCCGACACGUUGUAAGUACCCCACAUUCACUAACGGAAUGUGAGUCAAUCGUUUCACUUCUUGGGCCUCAGUUUCCUCAUCUGUAAAAUGGGAAUAAUAAUGUGCAUCCCAGAAAGACGUCGGGCAAUGCAUACGGUUGGAACGAUGCCAAGUUAACAAAAAAAAAAACCCAUGUUAGCAGCUGUUCCUACUAACAUUGUUAGUACGUUAUUAGUCCACCCCACAGAGAACAUGUAGUUAACACACUGAAUUGACUGGUGACCAGGCCACCUUCUCUCAACAAAGCACUUUCACCUUGGAAGCUAUUUCUGAAUUUUCAGAGUGGGUGGGUCUGAGGUCAGCCCGGCUCCUAGAGGUGCAUUUUUACAUCCUGCCAAGGGGGGGCCCCCUCCCAGGCCACCCCACACGGUGCGCUGGCUGCACUGGGCUAGUGACACACACAACAGCCUCUGAGUCACCAACGUUCUGCAAACCAGAGGCCUCCGGAAGCCAGCCCUGGCAGCAGGCCCGCACAGCCCCCAGCCACCGACAUCUUACCAGCAAGACCUUGGGGCUUACGAGAAAAAUGCCGCACCUCGUCCCAAACGGUCCUCAGCUCUCAGGAUGAGUAAACAUGGCAGUUCUGAGGCUCCCGUUUCGAGUAAGAAGCCUAGGUGCUAACUGGGAGGAGGGCAGAUCAGCUACAGCCAAGAAGAUGCCAAGCCCUGAGGGGUGGGAGGAGGUCCCCUGCCCUGAGCCAGCCUCCAGGGAGAUGCACUCAUCCUGCUCUGGUCCAGCAACAUGAGACAGGCCCCACCUCCCAGCACAGCUUCUUGGGGCCUUCAUGCCAGCAUCCACCCUCAGGCCCACCCUCCACUCAAAUCAGACUUCACAAUGCAGAACUCUAAAUCCACGUGCAACACGACUCCAUCAAGGCCGAGAGAGAGCGGUGCCUGAGCUGCUCCCCAGGCAUUGACAGGGGAGCCUGGCCAUUUGGAAAGACCUUGGGGGGAGGGGGUGGGCAGGUGGCCACAUUCAUCUCCACACUUUCUAAAGGACCACGUGUGCAUGGGCUGACGAAGCAACACUUAGUGGCACCUUCUAUGCAGGACCCCAGCUUUCACAUAUGUCAUCUCAUUUAUGGCCACCGACAGUUCUGUGGGCACAAACCAGUGUUCACAGAAGCUCAGCAUUAGCUGCAUCAGGGUGAACCCCGCCUUUCCCUUGCACAUGGUUACCAUGGUGCUGGAUCCUGGUUUUGGGGCGGGCAGUUAGCAUGGCUCAGGCUAUAAGGACCCUGUAUCUUGAAGCUCAAGACGUGGAAGCGUCAACCCCUCAUGGGGUUGUCAUCACCCCGUGAGGGCAGGGACCUCUUCUCUCAUUCACUGCCAUGACCCCAGCACCCAGGACAGAGCCCAGCACAUAGUAGGUACUCAGUUAAUUUUCCUGGAGAGAUGGUUGAAUGAAUGAAUGAAUGAAACACAAACUCCGAAUUGAUCUGGAUUUAACCAGAAUUUGCCCAGUUGAGUCUGGUUUUUGACAGUCUCCAGGAGCUGGUCUGAAACUCUAGUAGGAAGGUUGCUGGCCAGCUGUUUUAUUAGUUAUAGAUGAGAUAUCCUGAUACAUAUAGUAGAAUAAUAAUUACCAUUAUUUUAUUAAUUUAUAUAGCACUUUCUACAAAGCACUUCACAUAUAUUUAAUCCUCACAGUAAUCCCACGGAGUAGGUACUAACUGUCCCCAUUUUACAGAUGGUGAAACUGAGGCACAGAGCGAUUAAGGAACAUACCCAGCUCAUACAGCUACUAAGUCACAGAGCCAGGAUUCAAACCUACCCAGUCUGGCUCAAGCUAUUGAAGAUGGGAAUUCUUUUGUAAUUAUCAUCUGGCAGUCAGAAUUUGCUUCUUUGAGUGCAACUCUGAACAAAGACUGGUCCGUGGGAGACCCCAACUUUUAUCAGGGUUACCCAGUAGAAGUCACCCAUAUAGUAUUCAAGGAAAAAUGGGGGUGAGCUAACAUAUAUGUUUGCUGUAGUUAAUCUGGGGGAUGAGAUUUAAGAAGCAAAGAGUGACUUGGCCCCUUUGGGACCACGAUGCCACGCCCGGGGUACAUAUCUAAAAGGUGAGAUGGUGCUAGAUUUUCCUAAGACUUAAAGUAGAGCCAAGGCCUGGGGUUCAGAGAGAGACGGCAGCUUCCCGGUUGUGACUGGGGCCACCCCAGCUCGCUUCAGCUGGCAGUAUUCUCCUGCAGAAGAGGAAAGUUGAAGCUCACGCCUCACAAAACCACCAGCAAGCUGGGUUUCUAGAUCUAAGGAAACCAAGCCUUCCCAUGGUGUCAAUCUGAUUCUGGCUUUGGGCUCUGAUGGCAUAUAAGUCACCCUCUCUCCAAAGAAAGUAUAACCAUCUUAGCCUCCACAGUCAGGGGCCUAUCUAAUGGGAAAUCCAGGUUAUCCCAGAAGGUGACAGAGGUGAGUGGCUGCCUCUAUCUGCAACUAUCCGCAGCUGGACACUAGUCAGGAUUGCAUUUGGAUGGACUCACCAGCCAGCACCAACCCACUGCUGGGACCCAGGGACCCCACUUGGCCUUGGGAAAGGCCAUUCCUUUGAGAUCAAAGAGUAUGCAUUUCUCUUCCUCACUCUCCUCUAGUCCCCCCCAGCCUUCCUUCUACACUUUGCAUGCGCCAAGUAUACUUCCACCCCAGGGCCUUUGCACUUGCUAUUCCCUCUACCCAGGGUGCUCUUUCCUUAGAUAUUUGCAAGGUUCUAUCAGCAAGAUCUCUGCUCAAAUGUCACCUCCUCUGGGAUGCUUCCCUUAUGGAACAGCAGGCCCCCUAUGCCACACACCACUCUCUAUUCCCCUCCACCCUGCUUUACCUUUCUCCAUAGCACUUAUUCUAGCUGGUGUUAUCGUUUAUGUUUAGACUGUGAGCUCAAAGAGGGCAGGAAUUUGAGCCUUUGUGUUCCCUUCAGUGUCCCCAGUGUUGACCUCAUCAUGGCCAAAUGUGGGGUAUUGUAACAUCCGUCUCAGUAGAGCAGAUUCCAAGAGAAAUCAUGCUUUGCUGUCAUAAGGGAGAAGCCAGGACUUCUGAGUUUUGGAUCAUGCUGUCCCCUGCCUGGCUCCUUAUCUGACUAGUGAAAUCCUGGCUCCAAAGUUCCACAAGGCCCACACCACCCACAGAGCACCUAGCACCGAGGGUGGUACACAGCUGGCGUAUUAAACCAUGCCGCAAAUGGGCUUAAGACAAGACUGUGGAAUCUGGAACCCUCAACCUUUGUUCUCCACUCAGUCCAACUUCAAGGAGGAGAAACUGUUUCUCCAUUUGUGAACAUCUCUAUCCUGAGCCCAUUUCAUACGCCAACUGGGAUGUGGCUAGAAAUUGCCCAUGAAAAGACCUUAGCAGGAGGCAGGUUUUAAGAGUAGCAUAUCCUCAGGGAACUGGAGACACUUAGAGAUGGGUGGGUCAGCCUUUCCAACUAUAGCCCUCUGUCAUCUCAACCCUGAGGAUGCAUCCACUGAGGCCACUAAGCUUCGAGGGGGGCGGUGGGUUUAGGGACCACCAUGAUGGGCUUGUGAGAUGCAGCCUAGCCCAUGCCGCAGGGCUGGUGGCCAGAAUGACAGCAAGCCCCUGUGAGAAGCGGCUCUAGCUUUACUUCUGUUAUAAAAGAUGACCUUGAGCAGGUUUUAGAAGGACCCCACAAACACUCAGUACUGUACAAUGUCCACUUUCCCCCAUUUGAGCCAAGGAUUCCACAAUCUAAAGUUGACACAAAGAUUCAAUGCCAUGUUGUGGAGCCUGACAGGCUGACUCUCCAACGUGUCUGCAGAAAAGCAAAAAGACACUUCUGGGGAACAACAAGCUGGGGACUAAACCUGCCAGCAGUCCAGAAUAUCUACAAAGCGGCUGUAAUUAAGAACUGGGGACAAACUCUCCUAUGGAACAAAGCCGAGAGAGCAGGAAGGGGCCUGCACUUACAUGGAAACGAUAUUUACAACAUGGAUGGAUUACAGGCCCGUGGGGAGAGGACAGACUUCUCAAUAGAUGGUCGGGGGCCACUACUUAUCCACACAGAAAACGAUGAAAUUAGAAAUUCACUUCAUACUGGACACAAAAACAAACUUAAGUGUGAAAGAUAAAACUGUAACAUGUUUGGAAGAUGAUACAGGAGAAGCUCUCUUUAUGACAUAGGGGUAGAAAGGGAUUUCCUAAACCAGUUCUUCAGACUUGAGGAAUCACUGGAGGGCUCGUAAAAGCUCAGGUUGCUGGGCCCAACCCUAGUGUUUCUGAUUCAGCAGCUCUGGGUGGGCGGGGCCUGAGAAUCUGCAUUUCUAACAAGCUUCCACGUGACACGCCUGUUGCCAGUCCAAUGACACAUUUUCGGUAGCACCGUCCCAAAUGACAUUCAAAAAGCUCAUUAACCUUUCCAAAAAUAAAUUUAACGACAUUAAAAGUUUCUGUUCAUUGAAAGAUACCAUCUCAACCACAGGAGUUUUGCAAACACUUCAGCAAUCUUACAGUAUCAAACGUUGGGAGGACGUAGAGCCAUGUACUUACUUCUGUGUUGCUGAUGGGAGUAUAAACUGGCACAACCGCUUUGGAAGACAAUUUGGUAUUGUCUACUGAUGUGGCAGAUGUGUACGCCCAAUGACCAAGCAGUUCUACUUGUAAGUACAACCCGACAGAAACACCUCUGUGUGCAGAGAAAGAACAUUUUGGAAAGCACUGUUUGUACCAGCAUAGGGAAAAAAACCUGGAAAUGACCAAAUGUCCACCAUCAGCAGAAAGGAUAAAUGAGCUCUACGAUGGACUAUUACACGGCAGAGAAAAGGAAAGAAUUACAGCCACAAAAAUGACACCCUAUGAAUGCCAAGAACGUAAUGUUGAAGGAAGAAGCAAGUUGCGGAAAACUACUACAGAAUGACUGCAUUUAUGUAAAGUUCACGAGCAUGGAAAACGCAGUGUGUUGUUUAGAGAAUCAAACAAGUGGUAAAACUAUUUUUUUAAAAAAAGGAGAGUGACAAACACAAAAUUGAGGAUAGCAACUAGUCUAAGGUGGGAGGGAAGAAAAUACACUCAAAAUUCCAUGCUCAGUCCAGGCGUGGAACAUCAUGGCUGUGAACACUGCUGAACAGAGACAGACCCCAGACACCUCUGCUGGAGGAACACACCACUGAUGAGGGAGCCUCACUCAAAACAUCAAACUCAAUCUGAUCCAGCCACUCAUCUCACUACUGAUUUACGGGAAAUGCUGAGGACAAAGCAACGACUGAUGGCACCUUGGGGCUGCAACCAGCAACACCCAGCCUACAUGCAAACCACCUGGCUUCUUCAACGCAAAGAUGGCAGAGGGGAAAAAGAUAAAGGGGGCCUGCACAGAUGAAAGAAAUGGAAAGUACAUUUCAAACAACCACACCGUGUGGGCCUGCCUUGGAUCCAGAGUCAAGACGAGCCGUGGGGAAAAAAUUAGGGCAUUUAUGAGGCAGCUGGAAAUUUGAGCAUUGAGUUUGAUAUUAAAGAAUUAUUUUAACACACUACUAUAUAUAAAGUAGAUAAACAAUAAGGGUUUACUGUAUAGCACAGGGACCUAUAUUAUUCACUAUCUUGCAAUAACCUAUAAUGGAAAAGAAUCUAAAUAAAGAAUAUAUAUAGAUCUGUGUGUCAUAUAUAUACACACACACACACACACACAUAUGUGUAAUUAAAUCACUUUGUCAUAUACCUGAAACUAAUACAAUAUUGUAAAUGAACUGUACUUCAAUUUAAAAAAGUUAGACCCCAAAAAAGAAUUAGUUUCACUGUGAGAAUGAAAAUCAGAGAAAAAUUUUUGACGAGUGCUCUUGUAGAGAAACAUAACCGAAAGAUUUGCAAAUAAAAAACGAUUUUAGAAGGCACAAGAGUGCAAAGGUAAUGGUUAUAUUCUUUUUCUUUAAACUCGGGGUAGGCACACGGUAUUUGUAUUGUUAUCAU